rnacentral:rRNA from 1 species
CACGCCGUAAACGCUGAUUACUAGGUGUAGGGGGUAUAGACUCCCUCUGUGCCGCAGUUAACGCAUUAAGUAAUCCACCUGGGGAGUACGGCCGCAAGGUUAAAACUCAAAGGAAUUGACGGGGGCCCGCACAAGCAGUGGAGUAUGUGGUUUAAUUCGAAGCAACGCGAAGAACCUUACCAGGGCUUGACAUGCACCGGUACAGUGUAGAGAUAUGCUGGCCUUUUUGGCUGGUGUGCAGGUGG